rnacentral:tRNA from 1 species
GGGAAGGUAGCUCAGUGGUAGAGUGCUUGCCUUGCAUGCAUGAGACCCUGGGUUCUAUUCCUCAGCACCA